AUUUUCUACUCUCAACCAGAACAAGCAAAACUGAGAUUCCUACUAACAGUUCCAUAUCUCACAUGUGUAGACUGCAGACCACACCACUGUGUGAAGCCUUGUCAAGAGCCUGACAGAGCAUGACCUUCAGCCAUUUUGGAGACACUUCCAAGAAACCCAAGCUCCUGAGCUCAAAUGGUAAGCUCCCCUGCAUGACACCACUACUGAACAAGACAUGCACACUAAUUGCCUGUGGACCAGCAGCUGUAAGAUCUACUGAU